GAUAAAGCGAUAAAUUGAGCCCCCGCCGCAUUAACGGCCUCUCUUCCUUGUUGCGGUGCCGGCGGUCGGACGGGUUCCCCGGCGGCGAGGCGACCGAGCCAGCACGUGUCCCGCCACGGCCGCGGUCCACGGUCCACGGGUUUCCGAGUCCGGCCUGGAUGAAUCUUGAUCCGGCGAGGUAAUGGAAAUGCUCCCAAAAACGGAGACCUCGGCUGGAUCACUCCGGUUUGGGAUGUUGUCAUUUUAAAAUGUUACUAAGUUGAAAUAUUAUUUAUACUUUAUGACUGGUCAAAGUUGUAGGUAAAUUUUAAAACCCGUAAGUAUGAUUUACUGCCUGCAAACAUGGAAUGUCUUUAUAAACUGCACAUGUAUAAGGUCCAAAUCCUAAUUUAAAAUACUUGUCGAGUGUAUUCAGUACACAUUUACAGUCUGUUUUAUCUAUAGUCUUUUGUGAUGCCCAUAAUCAGUUUUUGUCAAAGCUUAUCGUAGUGGUGUACAUUAAAUUAUGUAGUAGCCGGAUCUUAGUGGACUGUACUGGACUGCAUUAUAUUGAGGUAGUCCAGUUGCCUAAACUGAACACUAAACUUCAUAAAUGUAGCGAUUAUGGCAGAGCUUUUGUAUUGAAUUGCAUUCGUUUUUUUGUAUAGGUGUACCUAAAUAACGUGGACACUGAGUGUAUUUUUGUGACAUGGUAUAAAGUGUGGAAAUCACUGGUAAAUAAAG